AACAUAGGUAAAGACAUGUCACAUAGGUAAAGACGUGUCACAUAGGUAAAGACAUGUCACAUAGGUAAAGACGUGUCACAUAGGUUAAGACGUGUUACGUAGGUAGAGAUGUGUUACAUAGGUAGAGACGUGUCGCAGGAGUUUGUUGUACAUAUUGUUUCAUUACCCAGGUAUCAAGCCCAGUACCCAAUAGUUAUCUUGUCUUCUCCUCUCCUUCCUCCCACCCUCCACCCUCUCCCCUCCCCCCUCCCCCAACUCAAGUAGACGUCAGUGACUUUUCUUCCUUCUUUGUGUUCAUAAGUUCUCAUCACUUAGCUCCCAGGGUUAAUCUUCUUAGAAAUGUCCACUGAAUUUCCAUCACUACAGAAUAAAGUCACAGCUUCCUAAGAGUCAAUGAGAAGGUUCAUUGUUGACGAAGGGCCUGUUCCGUGCCAAGGGCUGGGAGACUCAGGGAGCCAGCCAAAGCCGCCUCCAGGCUGCAGACAGGAAGGCACCGGGCUCUAGCAGUGGGUCCCCAAUUUCGCUUGUGAGCUGCAUUCCACUGGCCACCCUGCCUUUCAUAGAGGUGAGGUAUUAAUAGUAGUUGAGGGAGACUUUAUGAGGGAGAUUGGAUUGGAGCUGAGCUUUGAAAGAUGAAUGAAAUCAUUUGGAGGAUUCAUCCACAAAAAACAGAGACUGGCCAACCCUGGUUUGCAGGGUGGAAGUCCAGGAAUGACGCUAGGUGCCUGGUGGAAAGAUAAAUGUCAAGGAGCCUGCAGGCCACUCAGCACCAAGGCAGGAAUGCACUAUGGAGGCAGGACCGUGUUGGGGAGCAGAGGCUGGAGAACAGCUCCGACUCCUCCCAGCACCGAUGCUGCCUUCCCAUGAGCACCUCUGGAUUCCUCCCAGCCCGGCCUCUGCUUUGACUGCAGGAUUUGCUCCGUCUCCUCUCCAAUGAUGCCUCCAUUUCGGCUCAGGUCUGAAUUCUCAUUACACUUCCCUCCAGCCCCCAGCUCAGACACGAUCUCCUUUCUGGCUUCUCCUGAGCUUUAAUAGCUGUCUGUCCCCUCUCUGUCCCCAGACAUUUCCCAGGCAGAAUUCCCCAGCUACCCUUCCAGGAGAGAAGCUCUGUCAAUCCAUCAUGGUAACCUCUCAGUGCCUUGCACAGUGUGGGCCUCAAUUCGUAUAUGUGGAAAUUAGGCAAAAAUUGAGAAAGUGCCCGUGGAAAGAGUUAUUUGAGGAGGUGACAAAGGAAGGCUUGACACAGUAGAGCUCCCUUUCCCAGGGGAUAUGUUCCAAGACUCCGCGCUGGAUGCCCGGAACCUCCGAUAGUACCGAACCCUAUUGUCUGAGUCUGUUCGUGUUGCUCUAAAGGAAUACAGAAGGCUGGCAAUUUAAGAAAAGUGGCUUCUUUGGCUCAUGAUUCUGAUGGCUGGAAAAUGGCAAGAUGGGGCAUCAGCAUGUGGCAAGGACCACGGGCUGCUUGCACUCUCAGCAGAAGGUGAAGGGAGCUGGUGAGUGCAGAAGUCACACUCGAGAGAAGAGGUAAGGGAGAGAGGAGAGGUGCCAGCUCUCAAGGGAACUGACAGAGCAAGAACUCCCCACUCUCUCAGGGGAGGGCGUUAAUCUAUUCCCAAGGGAUCCGCCCCCACGACCCAAGCACCUCCCAUUAGGGGAUCAACCUCUGGAUCCACCUCCAACACUGGGGAUCAAAUUUCAGCAUGCGGUUUGCGGGACAAACAUCCUAACAAUAGCGCCUAUAGGCCUCUAUGUUGCUGUUUCCUUUGCACAUACAUACCUAAUACGAAGUUUAGUUAUAAAUUGGGUGCAGUAAGAGAUUAACAAUAAUGAUAAAAUAGAACAAUUUAUGACAAUAUAUUGUAACAAACGUUACGUGAAUGUGGUUUCUCUUUGUCGUACGAAGUUUAGUUUAUAAAUUGGGUGCAGUAAGAGAUUAACAAUAAUCAUAAAAUAGAACAAUUUAUGACAAUAUAUUGUAACAAACGUUAUGUGAAUGUGGUUUCCCUUUCUCUUGACAUAUCUGACUGUACCAUACUGACCUGUCUUUGGACCAUGGUUCAUUCAACCGCAGACUGGGGGCUGCUGCUGUAUCUUCCAGGGAUAAAUGGGUCAGAUUUAUGUGGAGCAGGGGCCUGAGGGGUGGGAACAGAAUUGGUGAAGUGAGAAAGUGUGGUUCGGGGGCUUCACUAGUGGGGUCUGCCUAUUGAAUCUGGAUGGUCUAGGGCUGGCUCAGCCGUGAGCAGGAUCUUAGGCGACAGCUCAGCGGGGGCCACCUGACAGCGAGGACCAGGCAUACGGUGUCACCAGCUCAUCCAGAAUGUUCUCUCAGGUACCAAGGACACCCUGGGGUCUGAGGUGCCAGGCCCAGGAGAGUCAUUUCAGGUGAGGCGUCAUGUCUUAGAACGAAGUCUUGGGAAUUUGAGGGGUUUAUGAAAGCACACGUAUAGAAAGCAGGGAGGCUCUUCUGUGGCUCCCGAGAACGAGCACAGCGGGGCUCCCGUGGCUCCACGGCGCAGCCUCGGUCUCGGGGAAGGCUCGGCGUGUGAUUUCUAUUAACUGGGUAGGUUUUAUCAGGGUGCUUGGAGUCCCUGUAACUGACUUUGCCCUACUUUAUAAAUCCUUUCUCUAAAUACUUCUGGGAGGUUUGGCUUGGCUUGGAGUGUGUGGGAAUUAAAAACAAUCCAUUUCUCGGCCUCUAGAGUGGGUUCCAUUUUCCUCAGCAGCCCUCCAACGUACCCAGGAAAAGGGGGUGGGUUUGUAGGGACUUAAUUGGCUCACCUGACCGUUC
ensembl:lncRNA